UACGGAGGGUGCAACCGUUAUCCGGAAUCACUGGGCGUAAAGCGCAUGUAGGUGGUUUGGUAAGUGGGUGAUUAAAGACCGAUGCUUAACAUCGGGACUGUUGCCUAUACUGCUUGACUUGAGGAUGACAGGGGUAAGCGGAACUUUAGGUGUAGGAGUGAAAUCCGUAGAUAUCUAAAGGAACACCAAUGGCGAAGGCAGCUUACUGGGUUUUUCCUGACACUGAGAUGCGAAAGCGUGGGGAGCGAACGGG
rnacentral:rRNA from 1 species